UACGGGGGGAGCAAGCGUUGUUCGGAUUUACUGGGCGUAAAGGGCGCGUAGGCGGCCACCGCAAGUCGACUGUGAAAUCUCCGGGCUUAACCCGGAAAGGUCAGCCGAUACUGCGGGCUAGAGUGCAGAAGGGGCAACUGGAAUUCUCGGUGUAGCGGUGAAAUGCGUAGAUAUCGAGAGGAACACCUGCGGCGAAGGCGGGUUGCUGGGCUGAUACUGACGCUGAGGCGCGAAAGCCAGGGAGCGAACGGG
rnacentral:rRNA from 1 species